CACCUGGAGGUGGCUCGCCUGUUGUUACAGAGAAGCAAGGAUCUGAAUUAGGAUGGGUUUGCAGGAAAAGAGAAAUAACCCCUAGACUCCGGAGAAGCCCAGCUUUUGCAGGAGGGAGAACCCCUCCAGGAACAACACACCCACCCUAGGAAAUUUGGACUUGCAAAUUGCUUUAUCCAUACCUUACUGUAUUGCCAAGGCUGCUCCUGUGCACCCAGAACUGGGCUCAGUCCUGAUGAGCUGGAGGCAAGAAAAUGGACACAGGUCUGGAUAGCCAAUGACUGGACGGAGGAUGGCUAAGGGCCUGCAGGUGGCUGAUGGAGGAAUCAGGGCCCUGCUCUCCACGCUGCUGCUGGCUCCCACCUAGAAGGCAUGGGCCAGGGGGAGCCAAGUGCUUGCCUCUGCCCCUCCAGACAGCUUGAAAGGCCUGGAAUAAAGCCUUCCACUUCUCUCAAGGGAGCGUUAUAUGUGCAGAAUUUACUAUACAGGGAGAAAAGGACAAGAACUCUUCAGGAGCAGCCCGGCUCAGCAGCCUAUGGCACUCUGGAACCAAGAGUGCAAGCAGCUAACCUUGGCAGAACAACAAAUAAACUGAGAUGCUCAACUACAGAGCUACAACUCAGAGGACACGGACCUUCCGAGCUAGCAGAUGACAGCCCAAAAGGGAAGAAAGGUCCUUGCACAGCCUCCCUCCCAGCCACUGGCCAUGUGCUUCCAUUUCUGCGUUCUUCUGGCCAUGGCUGGUCCCCAGCCUGCCGUACCCGGCUGUUCCUGUGGCUGAG